UAUUUAAUAGAGUCAAUAAAACUAUACAAGAUAAUUUGUGUGCAGUCAUCUAAGAACAGAUAAAUAUAUACAUAAAGCCAGAAAUUAAUAAAUACAAUAUAAUAUAUACAAAAGAAACAAAAUUUAAAAUUCUCAUGCUAUCAGAAUGUUAAACAGGAAAAUUUGCUGAGGGUUUAGCUGGCCCCGCAUAUUAAAUUGAAACAUAAACAUCACAUACAAAAUAAAUAAAACAGUAGAUAGAAAACAGGUAAUGAGACAGCUGAGGAAUGGUAUGAAUCACAGAUAAAUAGAGGAUUAAAUUGUCAACAUUUGUACAAUAACAGUUAUGAGCAAGUAAAAAAAAACAAAAGAAAAAACAUAUAUAUAUAUAUAGAUAGAUAUAUAUAUAUA